rnacentral:rRNA from 1 species
UACGGAGGGUGCGAGCGUUAAUCGGAAUUACUGGGCGUAAAGCGCACGCAGGCGGUUUGUUAAGCAAGAUGUGAAAGCCCCGGGCUCAACCUGGGAACUGCAUUUUGAACUGGCAGACUAGAGUCUUGGAGAGGGGGGUGGAAUUCCAGGUGUAGCGGUGAAAUGCGUAGAGAUCUGGAGGAAUACCAGUGGCGAAGGCGGCCUCCUGGCCUAAUAUUGACGCUGAGGUGCGAAAGCGUGGGGAGCAAACAGGAUUAGAUACCCGGGUAGUCC